rnacentral:rRNA from 1 species
AUCCCUAGUAGCGGCGAGCGAAGCGGGAAGAGCUCAAAUUUAUAAUCUGGCACCUUCGGUGUCCGAGUUGUAAUCUCUAGAAAUGUUUUCCGCGUUGGACCGCACACAAGUCUGUUGGAAUACAGCGGCAUAGUGGUGAGACCCCCGUAUAUGGUGCGGACGCCCAGCGCUUUGUGAUACAUUUUCGAAGAGUCGAGUUGUUUGGGAAUGCAGCUCAAAUUGGGUGGUAAAUUCCAUCUAAAGCUAAAUAUUGGCGAGAGACCGAUAGCGAACAAGUACCGUGAGGGAAAGAUGAAAAGCACUUUGGAAAGAGAGUUAACAGUACGUGAAAUUGUUGGAAGGGAAACGCUUGAAGUCAGACUUGCUUGCCGAGCAAUCGGUUUGCAGGCCAGCAUCAGUUUUCCGGGAUGGAUAAUGGUAGAGAGAAGGUAGCAGUUUCGGCUGUGUUAUAGCUCUCUGCUGGAUACAUCUUGGGGGACUGAGGAACGCAGUGUGCCUUUGGCGGGGGUUUCGACCUCUUCACACUUAGGAUGCUGGUGGAAUGGCUUUAAACGACCCGUCUUGA